rnacentral:rRNA from 1 species
CGGCGUGGCUAAGACAUGCAAGUCGAACGGACCAUUAAUUUAUUGUAGUUAGUGGCGAAGGGUUAGUAACGGGUAGGUAACGUACCCUGUGCUUCGGGAUAGCGUCAGUAGCUUCGGCUACUUUCCGAAGGGGCGGUAAUACCGGAUAAUAUCAUAUGUCGAUAGGCAUAUGAUCAAAGAUUUAUCGGCACAGGAGCGGCCUGCCUCCUAUCAGCUUGUUGGUGAGGUAAAAGCUCACCAAGGCUAAGACGGGUAGCGGGACUGAGAGGUUGGCCCGCAACAUCGGGACUGAGACACUGCCCGGACCUCCACGGAGGGCUGCAGUAACGAAUAUUGCGCAAUGGGCGAAAGCCUGACGCAGCGACGCCGCGUGUAGGAGGAAGUCCCUCGGGAUGUAAACUACUGUCAGGGGUAAGAAAGUGCACUCCGGCGCAUUGAUCUAACCCAGAGGAAGUCACGGCUAACUUCGUGCCAGCAGCCGCGGUAAGACGAAGGUGGCAAGCGUUGUUCGGUAUCACUGGGCUUAAAGCGUGUGUAGGCGGAAUAGUAAGCGUCUUGUGAAAGCCCCCGGCUUAACCGGGGAAUUGCGUGACGAACUGCUAUUCUUGAGGCAAGUAGGGGUACAUGGAACUCUUGGUGGAGCGGUGGAAUGCGUAGAUAUCAAGAGGAACGCCAGUGGAGAAAUCGGUGCACUGGGCUUGUCCUGACGCUGAGACACGAAAGCGUGGGGAGCGAACGGGAUUAGAUACCCCGGUAGUCCACGCCGUAAACGAUGUCUACUAGGUUGUGGCGGUUCUGACACCUGCACAGCCGAAGCAAAAGUGCUAAGUAGACCGCCUGGGGAGUACGGUCGCAAGGCUAAAACUCAAAGGAAUUGACGGGGGCUCACACAAGCGGUGGAGCAUGUGGAUUAAUUCGAAGCAACGCGUAGAACCUUACCUGGGUUUGACAUGCUUGGAUGCUUGCCUGGAAACAGGUUAAGUACCUUCGGGUGAAACUUGCACAGGUGCUGCAUGGCUGUCGUCAGCUCG